rnacentral:rRNA from 1 species
CGCGUAGGUGGUUUGAUAAGCGAGAUGUGAAAGCCCCGGGCUUAACCUGGGAACGGCAUUUCGAACUGUCAGGCUAGAGUAUGGUAGAGGAGUGUGGAAUUUCCUGUAUAGCGGUGAAAUGCGUAGAUAUAGGAAGGAACACCAGUGGCGAAGGCGGCACUCUGGACCAAUACUGACACUGAGGUGCGAAAGCGUGGGGAGCAAAACA